GCCAAUGAUGAAGAUCUUGAAAUCGACUGAAAUGCAAGUUAAUGGUAAACUUGUAAACUUGUCGAAAAUCAUGAACUAGGACGGUCUGAGGC